GGGCCCGCACAAGCGGUGGAGUAUGUGGUUUAAUUCGAUGCAACGCGAAGAACCUUACCAGGGUUUGACAUCCUGCGAAUUUCUGGGAAACCGGAAAGUGCCUUCGGGAGCGCAGUGACAGGUGGUGCAUGGCUGUCGUCAGCUCGUGUCGUGAGAUGUUGGUUAAGUCCCGCAACGAGCGCAACCCACGUCUUUAGUUGCCAGCAUUUAGUUGGGCACUCUAGAGAGACCGCCGGUGAUAAACCGGAGGAAGGUGUGGAUGACGUCAAGUCAUCAUGCCCCUUACAUCCUGGGCUACACACGUACUACAAUGGUAGUGACAAUGGGUUAAUCCCAAAAAGCUAUCU
rnacentral:rRNA from 1 species